UACGUAGGGUGCGAGCGUUAAUCGGAAUUACUGGGCGUAAAGCGUGCGCAGGCGGCGCCGCAAGUCAGGCGUGAAAUCCCCGAGCUUAACUUGGGAAUGGCGCUUGAAACUACGGUGCUGGAGUGUGGCAGAGGGAGGUGGAAUUCCACGUGUAGCGGUGAAAUGCGUAGAGAUGUGGAGGAACACCGAUGGCGAAGGCAGCGUCCUGGGCCAACACUGACGCUCAUGCACGAAAGCGUGGGGAGCAAACAGG
rnacentral:rRNA from 1 species